rnacentral:rRNA from 1 species
CUACGGGUUGCUGCAGUGAGGAAUAUUGCACAAUGGGGGGAACCCUGAUGCAGCAACGCCGCGUGGAGGAUGACGCAUUUCGGUGUGUAAACUCCUUUUAUAUGUCAAGAAAAUGACGGUAGCAUAUGAAUAAGCACCGGCUAACUCCGUGCCAGCAGCCGCGGUAAUACGGAGGGUGCAAGCGUUACUCGGAAUCACUGGGCGUAAAGGACGCGUAGGCGGGUUGGAAAGUCAGGUGUGAAAUCCUACAGUUGAACUGUAGAACUGCACUUGAAACUUCUAAUCUAGAGUAUGGGAGGGGGAGAUGGAAUUAGGUGUGUAGGGGUAAAAUCCGUAGAGAUCACUAGGAAUACCUAAAGCGAAGGCGAUCUCCUGGAACAUUACUGACGCUAAGGCGUGAAAGCGUGGGGAGCAAACAGGAUUAGAUACCCGUGUAGUC